rnacentral:rRNA from 1 species
UACGUAGGGGGCAAGCGUUGUCCGGAUUUAUUGGGCGUAAAGAGCGUGUAGGCGGCCAUACAGGUCAGCUGUGAAAACUCGAGGCUCAACCUCGAGACGUCGGUUGAAACCGUAUGGCUAGAGUCCGGAAGAGGAGAGUGGAAUUCCCGGUGUAGCGGUGAAAUGCGCAGAUAUCGGGAAGAACACCGGUGGCGAAGGCGGCCUGCUGGGCAGUAGCUGACGCUGAGGCGCGACAGCGUGGGGAGCAAACAGG